GUGAAGAACGUAGCGAAAUGCGAUACGUAGUGUGAAUUGCAGAAUUCAGUGAAUCAUCGAAUCUUUGAACGCACAUUGCACCUCUCGGUAUUCCGGGAGGUAUGCCUGUUCGAGCGUCAUUUGUACCCUCAAGCUCUGCUUGGUGUUGGGUGUUUGUUCCGCCUCUGUGUGUGAACUCGCCUCAAAACAAUUGGCAGCCGGCGUACUUGUUUCGGAGCGCAGCACAUUUUGCGAUCCAGAUCAACGUACAGCGGCAUCCAAGAAGCCUUAUUUAACGCUCUUGACCUCGGAUCAGGUAGGGAUACCCGCUGAGUUUAAGCAUAUCAAUAAGCGGAGGA
rnacentral:misc_RNA from 1 species